GGAGAUGUGGCCGAGUGGUCGAAGGCACUCCCCUGCUAAGGGAGCAUCGGGGCAAAACUCUGAUCGUGGGUUCGAAUCCCACCAUCUCCGCCA
rnacentral:tRNA from 1 species